CAUCUAAAGUUUUUUUUGAGCCAUCAUAGAAUUGAGCAAAUCAAGCAAAACAGUGAUUAUAUUUUUAAAGUAGGCUACCACACAGCUGACUCA